GAUGAACGCUGGCGGCGUGCCUAAUACAUGCAAGUCGAGCGAACGGACGAGAAGCUUGCUUCUCUGAUGUUAGCGGCGGACGGGUGAGUAACACGUGGAUAACCUACCUAUAAGACUGGGAUAACUUCGGGAAACCGGAGCUAAUACCGGAUAAUAUUUUGAACCGCAUGGUUCAAAAGUGAAAGACGGUCUUGCUGUCACUUAUAGAUGGAUCCGCGCUGCAUUAGCUAGUUGGUAAGGUAACGGCUUACCAAGGCAACGAUGCAUAGCCGACCUGAGAGGGUGAUCGGCCACACUGGAACUGAGACACGGUCCAGACUCCUACGGGAGGCAGCAGUAGGGAAUCUUCCGCAAUGGGCGAAAGCCUGGCGGAGCAACGCCGCGUGAGUGAUGAAGGUCUUCGGAUCGUAAAACUCUGUUAUUAGGGAAGAACAUAUGUGUAAGUAACUGUGCACAUCUUGACGAUACCUAAUCAGAAAGCCACGGCUAACUACGUG
rnacentral:rRNA from 1 species